CAUGCCAUUCACAACGUGCCCUAUUUUUCGUGGACGGAGGGAGUAUCACGUAGUGUGUCAGGUUCCUUCAGUAGAAGUGAAUGCCUUGAUGAAAACAUUCAAGAUGAAGCCUCUGUUGUUUCCGCUAGCAGGGUCAGUAACAUCUGUGUUCAACUGUCAAGGCCCGUUGGAUGAUCCUGUUUUUGUUGGAGUGCAUUGGUCUCGAGGAAAAUUAUUCAUAUAUCUGCUGAUACACCAAAAUCAGCUGCACACGAGGCAAUGUUGAAUAAUAAAGAGGCUGGUGCAGUGGCAGCCAUCGAUAAUGUUCCACUCUCCUACGUUUCUGCCAAUUUUACCUUUAACACUGAUAAUUGUGUUGCUAAUCUGUAUGGAAUCAGAGCUACACUUGUUGAUGGUGGUGAGAUUCGCGGAGCCGGGAAUGCGUGGAUCUGUCCUGAGGGUGAGGUUGAUGACACAGCAAUGGACGUUAACAUUUCUGGCAACUUGUGCUUUGACAAAAUUAUGCAUCGCUAUAUACCUGGUUACCUCCAAACUAUGCCAUUUAAGCUAGGGGAUCUGAAUGGAGAACAAAAGUCUCAGGCUCAUUGUUAAGUAUCUCUAUAGGUUGAUGGAAUCAGCUGUCUUGCCAGAUGGAAUGAUAGUGCCAGAGAUGUUUGCUCAUAGAUUUUGUUAACGGGAAAUGUCUUUAUGGGUGUAGGAGAUUUGAUAUCAAAUGGACUGCUCUGAAAGCUGAGGGGUCACUUUCUGAUGCUAUCUCACACGAUUACAUUUUUCUCUGUGGAAGGAAUUGAAUUGGAUCUACGAAUGCGCAAUUUUGAAUUUUUCAACUUGGUUUCUUCCUAUACCUUUGAUUCUCUGAGGCCCAUUCAUUUGAAAGCAACAGGAAAGGUCAACAAGUAUUAUGGCGACCAAGUUUCCCAAUCUAGUACAAACUCAGAAAUGAUACCAAAGGAAGAUGAAAAAAGCAUUUCUGGUGAUAUUUCAAUCUCAGCUCUAAAACUCAAUCAAUUGAUGCUGGCUCUUCAACUAGCUGGAGUGCUCAACAUAUCAUCUAAGGGUAUGAAGGACUUCCUGAAAAAUGUCACCAACUUAUGUUCUCUUCAAAAACCUAAACUGUGAAAAGUUUGAUUUGUGCUUUGCUUGAGAUAAUCCGACGAUGGAAUGAUGAGUCAGAUUCUCCAGUGAAACAACAUUGUUUAGCGGGUGAGGGGGGAAAUCCACAUCAAAGUAGAGUCCACCUAAGAAUCAAGAGAGCCGACUGCCAAGUCAUUGUUUUGUUGCUGGAUUAUGUCUAGCUGGACAUAAAUAAAACCUUUUCACAAAGUUGACAGGUUUUACAAGAGAAAAAAACAACCUGCGAACAUUUUCAAGAAACUGCUGAAAGUUGAGGACACAAAACAUGAUUAUCCCUAUUUCUUAUUAGUCAUCCUUGAAGACUUCAUAUUUCGGCCCUAGUUAUUCAUGCCUAAAAUGGGUGUAUCCCAGACAUUUGUCUUCUAGCUCAAAUAGCUGGAGGAUGUUUUUAGCUAAUAUCUGCUGGGGAGCCUUGAUCUGGAAUAUGGUUUCAUCUGUUGGAUGCUACUGGCCGACCAGAUGAAAGUCUUGCAGUUGAAGUUGUAGGACCUUUGCAAUCUACUUCUGAAGAAAAUCUUGCGGAAAAAGUGCUAUCUUUUUCUUUACAGAAAGGUCACCUGAAAGCUCAUGCCUGUUAUCGACCACUACAUUCAACUACCUUAGAGGUUCGCCAUUGGAUGAGCUGGAGCUAGCAUCACUUCGUGGAGCAAUUUCAAGAGCCGAGCUGCAGUUGAAUUUUCAAAAACUAAGGGGCCAUGGUGCAUUAUCUGUUCUUCGACCAAAUUCAGUGGUGUGUUGGGUGAAGCUUUAGAUGUAGCUGCCAGAUGGAGUGGGGAUGUGAUCACAGUUGAACAAGCAAUCUUGGAGCAAAGCAAUAGCAUAUAUGAACUGCAAGGGGAGUAUGUAUUGCCUGGUUCCCGGGAAAGUGAUGACUGGUCAUCUUGGGAGCAUGAUCUCUUCUAUGGGUAGAUGGAGAAUGAGAUUAGAGGUCCCUAAUGCUGAGAUUGCUGAGAUGCUUCCUCUUGCUAGGCUUCUUUCUCGUAGUUCAGAUCCCGCUGUUCAAUCUAGAUCAAAGGUUGUGGUUACGUUUAUGAUAUCUUGAAUGAUUAAUUUGUGUAAAUGUAAGGGUAUGUGGAUAGGUGAACUUUCAUAUUACUUUCACUGGUUGGUUUUGGAAUUGGCUCUGGAUUUAGGGGGUUCAGAUAAUUUAUCCAUCUUAGUAGUAAUUGUUUAUGGUUUCUAUAGAAAUUACCGACUCAUGCCCUUA